rnacentral:rRNA from 1 species
GUAGGUGGCAAGCGUUGUCCGGAAUUAUUGGGCGUAAAGCGCGCGCAGGUGGUUCUUUAAGUCUGAUGUGCAAGCCCCCGGGCUCAACCGGGGAGGGUCAUUGGAAACUGGGGAACUUGAGUGCAGGAGAGGAAAGUGGAAUUCCACGUGUAGCGGUGAAAUGCGUAGAUAUGUGGAGGAACACCAGUGGCGAAGGCGACUUUCUGGCCUGUAACUGACACUGAGGCGCGAAAGCGUGGGGAGCAAACAGGAUUAGAUACCCUGGUAGUCCACGCCGUAAACGAUGAGUGCUAAGUGUUGGGGGGUUUCCGCCCCUCAGUGCUGCAGCUAACGCAUUAAGCACUCCGCCUGGGGAGUACGGUCGCAAGACUG